UACAGAGGGGGCAAGCGUUGUUCGGAAUUACUGGGCGUAAAGGGCGCGUAGGCGGCCCGCUAAGUCGAACGUGAAAUCCCUGGGCUCAACCCAGGAACUGCGUCCGAUACUGGCGGGCUUGAAUCCGGGAGAGGGAUGUGGAAUUCCAGGUGUAGCGGUGAAAUGCGUAGAUAUCUGGAGGAACACCGGUGGCGAAGGCGGCAUCCUGGACCGGUAUUGACGCUGAGGCGCGAAAGCGUGGGGAGCAAACAGG
rnacentral:rRNA from 1 species